UACGUAGGGGGCUAGCGUUGUCCGGAAUCAUUGGGCGUAAAGCGCGUGUAGGCGGCCCGGUAAGUCCGCUGUGAAAGUCGGGGGCUCAACCCUCGGAAGCCGGUGGAUACUGUCGGGCUCGAGUACGGAAGAGGCGAGUGGAAUUCCUGGUGUAGCGGUGAAAUGCGUAGAUAUCAGGAGGAACACCGGUGGCGAAGGCGGCUCUCUGGACGGUGACUGACGCUGAGACGCGAAAGCGUGGGGAGCAAACAGG
rnacentral:rRNA from 1 species